rnacentral:rRNA from 1 species
AGCAGUAGCCGCGGUAAUACGUAGGUGGCAAGCGUUGUCCGGAAUUAUUGGGCGUAAAGCGCGCGCAGGCGGAUCAGUCAGUCUGUCUUAAAAGUUCGGGGCUUAACCCCGUGAUGGGAUGGAAACUGCUGAUCUAGAGUAUCGGAGAGGAAAGUGGAAUUCCUAGUGUAGCGGUGAAAUGCGUAGAUAUUAGGAAGAACACCAGUGGCGAAGGCGACUUUCUGGACGAAAACUGACGCUGAGGCGCGAAAGCCAGGGGAGCGAACGGGAUUAGAUACCCCCGUAGUCCCUGUCUCUUAUACA